rnacentral:rRNA from 1 species
CAUUGCGAUGGAGAACACCUGUUCCCAUGUCGAACACAGAAGUUAAGUCCAUCUACGGCGGAAGUACUUGGGGGUUGCCCCCUGGGAGAUAGGCG